UACGGAGGGUGCGAGCGUUGUCCGGAAUCAUUGGGCGUAAAGGGCGCGUAGGUGGCCCGGUCAGUUCGUGGUGAAAGCGCGGGGCUCAACCCUGCGUCGGCCAUGAAUACUGCCGCGGCUGGAGCACUGUAGAGGCAGGCGGAAUUCCGGGUGUAGCGGUGGAAUGCGUAGAGAUCCGGAAGAACACCGGUGGCGAAGGCGGCCUGCUGGGGCAGUUGCUGGACACUGAGGCGCGACAGCGUGGGGAGCAAACAGGG
rnacentral:rRNA from 1 species